CUCUGUGUGAGGAACAUGAAGCUCUGAGGAUGCAGGAACAGAGACCAGACUCUCCUGGACCCACCUGUGUGUCCAUGAAGAGUGAUCGGUCUAUGGGUCGCCCUAUGGACUUUAAAGAUGGACGUCCUGCUGAUGGAAGAGUUCAACAGGAGAGCUCCAACGUUCACAGAGAUCAAUCA